CCCGGCCGGCCCGCGGCGGCCCCCGCACCGCCCGCGUUCCCGGCCUCCCGGCGCCUCUUCCAUGGAAGACCGGAGCCUGGCUGAAGAGAGGGGGCUGUGCUGUCAGAACCCCGACUGCAUGGACAAGGGGCGGGCGGCUAAGGUAUGCCACCACGCCGACUGCCAGCAGCUGCACCGCCGGGGCCCCCUCAGCCUCUGCGAGGCCUGUGACAGCAAGUUCCACAGCGCCAUGCAUUAUGAUGGGCACGUCCGCUUCGACCUGCCCCCCCAAGGGCCAUCAGAAGGACACGAGUUGACUGUAAACGAUGAAACCCAAGUCCACUGCCGUCCCUCUUGUUCCACAAGUUUUUUAACAGGAGAAAAAGUUGGGGACCGGCCCAGCUCGAAGGCAGGCUCUGUCCUGGCUCGGAAUGUGUCCACCCGGUCAUGCCCCCCGCGCACCAGCCCUGCAGUGGACGUGGAGGAGGAGGAGGAGAGCUCUGUGGAUGGCAAGGGGGACCGGAAGAGCACAGGCCUGAAGCUCUCCAAGAAGAAAGCCUGGAGGAGACACACAGAUGACCCAAGCAAGGAGUGCUUCACGCUGAAAUUUGACCUGAACGUGGAUAUCGAGACAGAGAUCGUGCCAGCCAUGAAGAAGAAGACGCUGGGGGAGGUGCUGCUGCCAGUAUUUGAAAGGAAGAGCAUUGCGCUGGGCAAAGUGGAUAUCUACCUGGACCAGUCCAACACGCCCCUGUCCCUCACCUUUGAGGCCUACAGGUUUGGGGGACACUACCUGCGGGUCAAAGCCAAGCCAGGGGACGAAGGGAAGGUAGAGCAGGGGGUGAAGGACUCCAAGUCCCUGAGUCUGCCAAUCCUGCGGCCAGCCGGGGCCGGGCCCCCCACCCAGGAGCGCGUGGACCCGCAGAGCCGCCGGGAGAGCCUGGACAUCCUGGCCCCUGGCCGCCGACGCAAGAACAUGUCGGAGUUCCUGGGGGAGGCGAGCAUCCCCGGGCAGGAGCCCCCAGCGCCCUCCAGCUGCUCUCUGCCCAGCGGCAGCAGUAGUGGCAGCAGCAGCAGCAGUGGCGGCAGUGACAGCUGGAAGAACCGGGCGGCCAGUCGCUUCAGUGGCUUCUUCAGCUCAGGCCCCAGCACCAGCGCCUUCGGCCGGGAGGUGGACAAACUGGAGCAGCUGGAGGGCAAGCUGCAUGCCUACAGCCUCUUCGGGCUGCCCAGGCUGCCCCGGAGGCUGUGCUUUGACCACGACUCGUGGGAGGAGGAAGGUGACGAAGAGGAGGACGAGGACGACGCCUGCCUGCGGCUGGAGGACAGCUGGCGGGAGCUCAUCGACGGGCACGAGAAGCUGACCCGGCGGCAGUGCCACCAGCAGGAGGCGGUGUGGGAGCUCCUGCACACAGAGGCCUCCUACAUUAAGAAACUGAGGGUGAUCACCAACCUGUUCCUGUGCUGCCUCCUGAAUCUGCAAGAGUCAGGGCUGCUGUGUGAGGUGGAGGCGGAGCGCCUGUUCAGCAACGUCCCGGAGAUCGCGCGGCUGCACCGCGGGCUGUGGGGCAGCGUGAUGGCGCCGGUGCUGGAGAAGGCGCGGCGCACGCGGGCGCUGCUGCAGCCCGCGGAUUUCCUCAAAGGCUUUAAGAUGUUCGGCUCCCUCUUCAAGCCCUACAUCCGAUACUGCAUGGAGGAGGAGAGCUGCAUGGAGUACAUGCGGGGCCUACUACGCGACAACGACCUCUUCCGGGCCUACGUCACGUGGGCCGAGAAGCACCAGCAGUGCCAGCGGCUGAAGCUGAGCGACAUGCUGGCCAAGCCCCACCAGCGGCUCACCAAGUACCCGCUGCUGCUCAAGUCGGUGCUAAGGAAGACCGACGAGCCGCGCGCCAAGGAGGCCGUCGUCACCAUGAUCGGCUCGGUGGAGCGCUUCAUCCACCACGUGAACGCGUGCAUGCGGCAGCGACAGGAGAGGCAGCGGCUGGCGGCUGUCGUGAGCCGCAUCGACGCCUACGAGGUGGUGGAGGGCAGCAACGACGAGGUGGACAAGCUCCUGAAGGAAUUUCUACAUCUGGACCUGACGGCACCCAUCCCUGGCGCCUCCCCUGAGGAGACACGCCAGCUGCUGCUGGAAGGGAGCCUGAGGAUGAAGGAGGGGAAGGACAGCAAGAUGGACGUGUACUGCUUCCUCUUCACCGACCUGCUCUUGGUGACCAAGGCGGUGAAGAAGGCAGAGAGGACCAAGGUGAUCAGGCCACCGCUGCUGGUGGAAAAGAUCGUGUGCCGGGAGCUUCGGGACCCUGGGUCCUUCCUUCUCAUCUACCUGAACGAGUUCCACAGCGCCGUGGGGGCCUACACGUUCCAGGCCAGCGGCCAGGCUUUGUGCCGUGGCUGGGUGGACGCCAUCUACGAUGCCCAGAACCAGCUUCAGCAGCUGCGCAUGCAGGAGCACCCAGGCGGCCAGCAGCACCUGCAGAGCCUGGCAGAGGAGGAGGAUGAGCAGGAGGAAGAGGAGGAGGAGGACGACGAGGAGGAGGAAGGAGGGGAGAGUAGCACUUCGGCGGCCAGUUCCCCUACCAUCCUGCGCAAAAGCAGCAACAGCCUCGACUCGCAGCGCUGUGUCUCGGAUGGCUCCACGGAGACCCUGGCCAUGGUGGUGGUGGAGCCUGGGGAGAUGCUGUCCUCUCCUGAGUUCGAGGGCGGCCCCUUCAGCUCCCAAUCCGACGAGACCUCUCUCAGCACCACCGCCUCAUCUGUCACGCCCACCAGCGAGCUGCUGCCCCUGGGCCCAGUGGAUGGCCGCUCCUGCUCCAUAGACUCCGCCUACGGCACCCUCUCCCCGACCUCCCUGCAAGACUUUAUGGCCCCAGCCCCUACGGUGGAGCCAGCACUCCGGCCCCCAGAGUCAUCACAAGCCCCUUCACCCCCACCCUCGCCCCGCCUCCGCCGACGCACUCCUGUCCAGCUGCUGCCCUGUCUGCCCCACCUGCUCAAGUCCAAAUCUGAGGCCAGUCUCCUCCAGCUGCUAUCGGGGGCCACCACCCGUGGAGCGCCCCCAGCCCCUAGCCGCAGCCUGUCGGAACUCUGCUUGGCUGCUACCGUCCCUGGCACCAGGACUCAGGGCUCCCCUCAGGAAGCUGGGCCCAGCUGGGAUUGCCAGGGGGCACCAGGCCCUGGCAGUGGCCCCGAGCUGUCAGAGCUGGAGGGUGGAGCCGGCUACCCAGGUGGGGAGCCCAAAGGACCCACCAGGAGGAGCAGAGAGCUGUCCUCGCGGGCCUCGCCCAGGGUCCAGCCUGAGCCCCCCCCAGGGACCUCUGCCCAGCACAGGAAGCUGACGUUGGCCCAGCUCUACCGAAUCAGGACCACCCUGCUGCUUAACUCCACCCUCACUGCCUCGGAGGUCUGAGCAGAGGGAGGCUCCCAAGGGUGCCACUGACCAAGGGACAGCAGACAGCACGCCUCCUGGGGUGUGCCGGCCCCUGCUCCAGCUGCCGCCUUAGGUGUGCACGAGCGGAGUGCUGGGCAGGACCCCUGCCACCGCCCCCAGGGCCCAAUUUGCACUUUGCCAGACUGGAUGGAAGUGGAGGAGGGCUCAGCAGAGGCCCAGGCCCAGGCUGCAGGACCCCCUCACAGUCGUCACUGUCACUAACCUGCCUGUGCCUCUGCCCCCCAGCCUAGGCAGGGUCCCUUGCCCCAUACUCCCUGAAGUCACCAGCUCCUAGCCUCUGGGCUGGGCUCCAGGGCUGGGAUCCCAGGCAGCCCUUCCCACCUCCACCCUCAUCUGGCCCCAAAUGGGACGGUUCCCCUGCCCUCACCUCCCUCCCUCCCUCCCUCCCUCCCUCCCACCUACCCACCCACCUAGUCCUUGGGUUGGGCUCCGUGUAAAGUUGCAUAUUUAUUGAGCUUUUGAUUCUUUUAUAAAGACUUGUAUAUACUCCACCGGAAAGAGUCCUUUGCUUUUGGAACGCCCCCCUUUCGGGACUCAGGUGCACUUGGGCGCCUCCCUGGGCUCCCGCCCCCUCCCUCCGGUGGGGCCCUGCUGGAAGAGACUGUGGGAGAAGUGAAUUAGUGGGGCGGAGAUCGCCUGACCUGUACUCCCAAGAUCAACCCCUGUCCCCUGCCGCAGACAUGAGGUCCACCACUAGAGCCCCCCACGAGGUGCCCUCCCCCACGUGGUACCUUAGAGGGCCCUGCCCUGAGCCACCCCUCUGAGCUUAUGCCAGGGUGGGCCAUGGUCUCAGGCUCUGCUGAGAGUACCCCCUAGAACUCCCCUCCAGGGCGGGGGGGGUGGGCACGCAGUACGUGGGGAGGGUGGGUCUCCCACCUGGAUACUUCUGGCCCAACCCCUCAUGGCUGAGGGCGGGCUCUGAGGCCCAGAGAGGGGAGGUCACCUCCCUAGGAAGCGUUGGUCUCAGGGUUGAAGCUAGAACCCAGGCGUGGGACCUGGCUGCAGCCCUGUGCUGUGUGCACCUCGCCCACCAGCCGCCUCAGCCUGGUCUGUGCACAGGGGAAGGAAGUUAGUCCAGAGCCCCACCCAUGGGCACCCCUUUGGGGCAAGAACCUGAGAAGUGGGCUGCUCUGUGGGCACGUGCUGGAGCCUCUGAAGGGUGGGGAGACCGGCUAGAGAGAGUCCCCUGCCUGGGCAGCCAGGCUGGGAGCCAGCAGCCCCUGUCCCGCAGGCCCUCCUCCUCCUCCUGCUGGGUGCCC